UACGGAGGGGGCUAGCGUUGUUCGGAAUUACUGGGCGUAAAGCGCACGUAGGCGGCUUUGUAAGUUAGAGGUGAAAGCCCGGGGCUCAACUCCGGAACUGCCUUUAAGACUGCAUCGCUUGAAUCAUGGAGAGGUUAGUGGAAUUCCGAGUGUAGAGGUGAAAUUCGUAGAUAUUCGGAAGAACACCGGUGGCGAAGGCGGCCCACUGGAUCGGUACUGACGCUGAGGUGCGAAAGCGUGGGGAGCAAACAGG
rnacentral:rRNA from 1 species